GUGUCAGCAGCCGCGGUAAUACGGAGGAUGCAAGCGUUAUCCGGAAUGAUUGGGCGUAAAGCGUCCGCAGGUGGCCGCUCAAGUCUGCCGUCAAAGACUACAGCUUAACUGUAGAAAGGCGGUGGAAACUGAGCUAGCUAGAGUGCGGUAGGGGCAGAGGGAAUUCCCGGUGUAGCGGUGAAAUGCGUAGAGAUCGGGAAGAACACCAGUGGCGAAAGCGCUCUGCUGGACCGCAACUGACACUCAGGGACGAAAGCUAGGGGAGCGAAUGGGAUUAGAUACCCUCGUAGUCC
rnacentral:rRNA from 1 species